rnacentral:ncRNA from 1 species
GCGAUGAUCUAGCUUGUUGGGGAAAGGCAGGGUUCGACAUGUACAAGGCCGUUGGAUCCGCGUGGAUCCCGGGUCAGCCGCGCGUCAACGC